GGGGGGGGGGCAAGCGUUGUUCGGAAUUACUGGGCGUAAAGGGCGCGCAGGCGGCCUGGCAAGUCCUACGUGAAAUCCCACAGCUUAACUGUGGAACUGCGUGGGAUACUGCCAGGCUUGAGUCCGGGAGAGGAGAGUGGAAUUCCCAGUGUAGCGGUGAAAUGCGUAGAUAUUGGGAGGAACACCGGUGGCGAAGGCGGCUCUCUGGACCGGUACUGACGCUGAGGCGCGAAAGCUAGGGGAGCAAACGGGAUUAGAUACCCCGGUAGUCCUAGCCGUAAACUUUGAGCACUUGGUGUGGCGGGUAUCGACCCCUGCCGUGCCGAAGCUAACGCAUUAAGUGCUCCGCCUGGGGAGUACGGUCGCAAAGGCUG
rnacentral:rRNA from 1 species